rnacentral:rRNA from 1 species
GACGAACGCUGGCGGCGUGCUUAACACAUGCAAGUCGAACGGGAGGAAAAGAGAAGCUUGCUUCUUUUUGAAUCUAGUGGCAAACGGGUGAGUAACACGUAAACAACCUGCCUUCAGGAUGGGGACAACAGACGGAAACGACUGCUAAUACCGAAUGUGUUCCGGAGACCGCAUGAUUUCCGGAAGAAAGGAUGGCCUCUAUUUAUAAGCUAUCGCCUGAAGAGGGGUUUGCGUCUGAUUAGGCAGUUGGUGAGGUAACGGCCCACCAAACCUACGAUCAGUAGCCGGUCUGAGAGGAUGAACGGCCACACUGGAACUGAGACACGGUCCAGACUCCUACGGGAGGCAGCAGUGGGGAAUCUUCCGCAAUGGACGAAAGUCUGACGGAGCAACGCCGCGUGAGUGAUGACGGCCUUCGGGUUGUAAAGCUCUGUGAUCGGGGA